UACAGAGGGGGCAAGCGUUAUUCGGAAUUAUUGGGCGUAAAGGGCGCGUAGGCGGCUUUGCAAGUGGCGGGUGAAAUCCCUCGGCUUAACCGAGGAACUGCCUGCCAGACUGCGGGUCUCGAGUCCGGGAGAGGUGAGUGGGAAUUCCUAGUGUAGAGGUGAAAAUUCGUAGAUAUUAGGAAGAACACCAGUGGCGAAGGCGGCUCACUGGCCCGGUACUGACGCUGAGGCGCGAAAGCGUGGGGAGCAACAGG
rnacentral:rRNA from 1 species